CCUACGGGGGGCAGCAGUAGGGAAUCUUCCACAAUGGGCGAAAGCCUGAUGGAGCAACGCCGCGUGGGUGAAGAAGGUCUUCGGAUCGUAAAACUCUGUUGUUAGAGAAGAAAGUGCGUGAGAGUAACUGUUCACGUUUCGACGGUAUCUAACCAGAAAGCCACGGCUAACUACGUGCCAGCAGCCGCGGUAAUACGUAGGUGGCAAGCGUUAUCCGGAUUUAUUGGGCGUAAAGGGAACGCAGGCGGUCUUUUAAGUCUGAUGUGAAAUCCUUCGGCUUAACCGGAGUAGUGCAUUGGAAACUGGGAGACUUGAGUGCAGAAGAGGAGAGUGGAACUCCAUGUGUAGCGGUGAAAUGCGUAGAUAUAUGGAAGAACACCAGUGGCGAAGGCGGCUCUCUGGUCUGUAACUGACGCUGAGGUUCGAAAGCGUGGGUAGCAAACAGGAUUAGAUACCCUUGUAGUC
rnacentral:rRNA from 1 species